UACAGAGGGUGCGAGCGUUGUCCGGAAUCACUGGGCGUAAAGGGCGCGUAGGCGGCGCGGUAAGCGUGCGGUGAAAGCCCGGGGCUCAACCCCGGGUCGGCCGUGCGGACUGCCGGGCUGGAGCACUGUAGAGGCAGGUGGAAUUCCGGGUGUAGCGGUGGAAUGCGUAGAGAUCCGGAAGAACACCGGUGGCGAAGGCGGCGUUCUGGACUGCAACUGACACUGAGGAACGAAAGCCAGGGGAGUAAACGGG
rnacentral:rRNA from 1 species